UAUUAAUUGCUUGUUAACGCUAUCAUCAAUAAUUACCAAGACUUAUCUUAUGUCCUUUUGUAACAUUAUUUCUCAAAUGAUGUUAUGCAUAACGCAAACCCAUACACAGCCAUUAACGCUCCUAUUUCAAGCUCAUUGAAUUUCUGCAUGCAUAUCUUAUUACAUAUAUAUAGGAGCAAGCUAUAGCCAUGAAAGGUCAACUACUCAAUGAAGUACAAGGGAUUAGGCAGCUUAAAGCUCCUGAGGCCUUGGUUUCCUCCUUUCAAACUGCUCCACUGGUCUGCAACAUUUGCAAUAAUUCUGUAACCCUGCUGCACCAGCUUCCCUCUCUCGGUUGAUUUGUAUUCAAGUGUAUUUUGACCGUUUGAUGGCUCCCUGCAACCAAAACCCAAUCGUUUAAAUCUCAUGCAUUUCGAUUAUAUCGUAGAAAAAUGAUUUAAACUCACUUGAGAAUCAACUUCUCCCAUGUGUGGAAACCAGCUUUCCUCAAGUUGGCUUCAGUUACAGCCUUUUUGUCGGUCAGUCUUCCAGUCAAGAAGAUAAUCUUGACUCCAAGACCCAGAAGUUUGUUGUAAUUCUUAAGAGUCUCAGGCAAUGCUGGUGCAUCACCCUUGUUAACAAACUCUUCGUCAUAACGUGUAGAAUUGAAUUUCUCCGAUCUAUAUCACAUAGAAGAAGAUGGUGAAAGAGAUAUAAGUCAUGCAUGACAAAACAAACAGAAAACUUUGUAUAAAAAGAAAGGAAAAGAGUGUUACCCAUAUCCAUGCUGAGAAUAGUAUGGGAUAUUGGAGAGUACGGUUCCAUCUACGUUGAAGAUAACUACAUCGUUGUCUUGGAUUUUGAGAUCACUAGCGUAGAAGAAAACUUGUUGGUUAACGGUUUUGGAGUCUGAUUGGUAUUGUCCUCCUUCGAUGUAGGCUGCUGUAGAGUCUACGCACUGUUCAGGAAUUGUUUCAAAGCCAAAGAUGUUUUGUGCUUCCACAGCGAGUCUCCAACUGGCGCAUCUUACGUCGUCGUGACUAACACCAUCGCCAUAACCGGUUGGCAUUUCGAGAGGGAAGCUUCGGAAAGAACCGCCAUGGCAUUGAGAUGCCACCAAAAAUGUAGCAAGAAAGAACACCGCGAACUUCAUACUGAUCUCUGUAUCUCACCGCUUCUUCUUAUCUCUCAGCUAACUCUUGCAUCUUCUUCCUCCAGCCUUUGCUUCCAUAAAUAGACCAUGCCUACUACCUCAUGUACAAAUUUUCUCUCAACUUUAACCUAAUUUUUACCUCCAAUAAUUUACUGCAUUGUUCAAAAUCCUUUCAAAAUAAUAAAUACAACUAUUCUUGAAUUCUCUAUUAUUUUUUAUUGUUAAAAAUAAGUUAUUUAUUUAAGGGCUUAGAAAAUGUGCUGGUGUACGAUAAUAACGAAUCUCUAAUAAAUAACAUCACCUAAAUAAUCUUCGACUUUUGAAUAUUUUAGGUAUGGUAAUAAAGACUUGCUAUUGUACUAUCUUUUUUUCAUUAAAUAUUGUGAUAUAUACUACUUGUACCACGACAAUUUUUACAUUUAGUUGAUAAAUAAUAUAAAAGUAAAAUAAUUAUAAAAAGUAUAAUUUUUUGUUUUGUUUUUUUAAAAAUAAGAAAAUAAAAGUAAGUAAAGAUAAUGUGAAAAUGAAUGUAAAAAAAUUAAAUAUAACAACGGAUCAUUUUUUAUAUAUCUAUUCAAGUAUUACUACAUGCGAAAGAACAAUGUAGAAUAAAAUAUUAAGUUACUAGGACAAAUUUGUGGAUAAUAAAUUAAAAGAUGUAAAUUUUUCAAUAUAUAUUCUUUCAAUUACGGAUCACUAAAGCCUGAGCAUAUAUAUCAUGAUAUAGGCAAAGGAAUUUGUUGGGUGAGUUAGGGAAUGCUUAAUUUUUUAUGUGACCAAAUAGUUAUAAUCACUAGUUGUAAUUCUUGAAACUUAUGUUUAUAAAUUUCGAAAUAUAUUUCAAAUUAUGAUUCAAUUAUAUUUAUCAUGUUUUAUAAUAAAUUAAUUAUAAUAUCUAAAAUUUCUUAGGAAUACAUAUAUAUGCUCUUUCUACAGUAUUAAUCGUUUAUUAUUUUCGUAAUUAAACUACUUCUUUAAAAUAUAAGAAUAUAUAAAGACAAAUCAAUCAAAAUCUUGAUUUAAGUGGGUUUAUUUUUUUUCUUACAAUUGUAACUAUCUUUUUUUUUUUUCCUUUUUCUAAAUAUGUGCCAGCUUUAUAUUUUAUAUGUUUGAAUCGACUGAUAAAUGUGAAAUUUUUUAUAGGAAAAUGAUUCAUAUAUUUUUAAAAUACUCAUCAACGUUUGAUAUAUAAUAUGAAAGAAGAUGAAAGAAGAAAAACUGCUUACUUUCCACUCCAUAUCAUUUUCGUAUUGAGUGUGGUCUUUAGAGUUGAGAGAGAUUUGAGAGGGAUUUUUGUUGAGGCACGAGGGAGGUUUUAAUUAAUAAUAAUUAUUAAUUGUAAGAUUUUUUUAAUAAAUUAUAUAAUUUUUAAAUUAAGUUUAGUGCUUCAAUUAAGUAUUAUGAUAAUAAAUUUAUAGCAUAUAUUACAACUUUAUUAGCCGAAAGUCAUUUUAUAUAUAAAUUAAAUAUGUUUUUUUAGAUAAUAAUAAAUAAAUAAGUAAAAUAUUCUACUAGAGUAAUAUAUAUAUAUAUAUAUAUAUAUAUAUAUAUAUAUAUAUAUAUAUAUAUAUAUAUAUAUAUAUAUAUAUAUAUAUAUAUAUAUAUAUANUAUAUAUAUAUAUAUAUAUAUAUAUAUAUAUAUAUAUAUAUAUAUAUAUAUAGACAUCAAGAUUUUCUUUUUCCAAAAGUUAUAUUUUAAAAAACAGUAAUGAUGAUUUAACGAAAAGAACUAUUGAAUUGUUUUAAAAAAUAUAUGAAUUAUAUUGAAUAAAAAAGAAAUAGAGAAAAAAUACUUUUAAUCGUAGUUACAAAUAUAAAAAUAAAAAAUACUAUUAAACUUUAAUCAUAUACUACUCUUAAUUUAAUGUUUGUCUUCAAAUACUUCAAUUUCUUAUUAAAAUGAGUUUAAAGAUGUAAUGAUAAUUAAAAGAUAUUGACGAGACUUAAAUUAUGAUAUAAUAAAUUAUUUAAAUAUAGAAUGUAUACAAUUGACAAUUUAUAGGUUCAAUCAAUAUUGGUUUACUAUUGCAUGUUUUAUUUAAAUUGAGAUUAUCUAUUUGUUGACACGUAGGCAGAUAAUUACAUGUGGUGAUUUAACUUUAGAUAAUAUAUAUAGGGGUUUGUUAACACGUGUACGCCUGUUUUUCAGUUGGUACGUUUUAACAAUGUGUACGGGAUUAUAGUAGAUAAAAGUAUCCUCAUUUAUCAUGGAUUCAAGUUUUAAGGUCAAAGAUAUUUAAAUAAUUUUCAUUCUUAAAACUAAAAAAAAAACCCAAACCCUUAUUCACCUCCCACAUUCCUCUCAACCCUUUCUCUCUCGUCUCUUUCACUCCAACAUUUUCUCUGUCAUCUCUCUCAUUCCAACAUUUUCUCUGUCAUCCCUACUGUUGCCCCAAUUGAAAAAAAAAUCAAAAACCCUUUGUCAUUAGAGAUAUUUUCUCUCUCAUCUCAACAUUUUCUCUGUCAUCAUUCCAACAUUUUUUCUNUUAUCUCAACCAAUUGAAGAUGGUGGUAGCAAUUUGAAUCAGAGAUAUUUUUUAAAAAUUGAAAAAGUUUACUCUUUUAUAAUCAUUUUAUAUUUAUUAAUGUGUGUAAAAUAAAUAUAAACUUUGUCAUUUUAUGUUACUCUUCCCAAAUCUCAAAGGUAAAAAAUGAUUUUACUGGUUUUUAUCUUGUACAGUGGUUAAAGUUUAUUCUAAACGCAUGUAGAAGUUGAUUCAGUGAUAAAAAAGGGACAUAAGAGAAUUAAAGAAAUUGAUAUAGAAGAAUUCCCUAGGAGUACAAUUCUUUCAAUCCUAGGUUGUAAUCUUACAUAAUGUAUCCCAUACCAACAGAGAAAGGAAAAAGAAACACUUUGUGUAAAGGAAAAAGGACAAGGGUUAGGCAAGGGUUUAUGGUUUUUUUUUUCAAUUGGGGCAAUAAGAAUGACAAAGAAAAUGUUGGAGUGAGAGAGAUGACAAAGAAAAUGUUGGAGUGAGAGAGAUGAAAGAGAAAGGGUUGAGAGGAAUGAGGGAGGUGAGUAAGGGUUUGGGGGUUUCGUUUUUUUUUUUUAGUUUUGAGAAUGAAAAUUAUUUAAAUAUCCUUUACCUUAAAACUUAGAAUCCAUGAUAAAUGAGGAUAUUUUUGUCUAUUAUAAUCCGGUACACAUGGUUAAAACGUACCAACUGAAAAACAGGCGUACGCGUGUUAACAAACCCCAUAUAUAUAUAUACACAUACUUACGGCAUAUUGUAAAAUAUAUAAUUAUUUGUUUUGAAAAAUAUAUGUACCAAAAAUCGUAUUUGUGAAGUUAAGUAAGUAUAUAAAUAGAUUUUUGUUUUAAAUGGAAAUAUUUGAUUGAUUUUCUAAUAAUAAAGUUUUGAAUUAAAUAGAAUAAAUAAUAAAAAUUAAUUUAACAUGUUUUAAUGCAGCCCUAAUUCUGAACUUCACUCUUUCUCUGUGCAAGUUCAAGUGCAUUUGGGUCCGUCAAAGCUAGCUCAUUUUGGGAGGGCUAUUUCUUGCUACACCUUCAGAGUUUCGUCCUCCAUUACUAUAAGGUUCCGGAAUUGCUAAAAGUACCCUUCAAUAUAUUAUUUUAUUUAAAAAUACAUUUCAAAUAGUAUUUUUAAACUCUUUCACAUAUUCUGUUUUUAGUUUCCAUCAUCUCUUUCAUUUUCUCUCUUGAAAAUUUGAAAUUGGAUGAUAUUUCUUUGUUAUGAGUUUUGCAAAUUAGAUAUUAUGAAAUGAGCCCUUUACUUAGUUGAAGCCCUCUCCCAUGUUCAUACUUUGCAUCUCGAGGGAUUUCUAGUUUUCUCCCCAUGCUCGUACUGUUGUACCUUUAUGUCUUCUGAUGAUUCUGUGUAUUAUUUCCUUUUCUCAAAAACAUAACACCUAACCAAUCACCAAAUCAAACUUACCAUAGUUGCAAAUUUUCAAGAAAUUCAAUACAUGUAUAUUAAAAACAAAACACAACUGUAAAUUUUCAUGAAAUUUAAGACAUAUAUAUUAAAAUUUAUAUAUAUUAAUAAAUUAUGAACAAGUUAUCACUCUUCUUAAACUUCUUAAACUGUCAAAUUGGAUCAUUCAAGAUUCAAUACUUAUAAAUUAUGAUUGUUCGUUUGUAAAAAAUUGUUUCCUCAAAAAAUCUGAAAAUAGUAAAUAAUUUUUGUAUUGAAUCUCAAAUGGAAAACUAAGAAUAAUUCACAACAAGAAUAUAUUCAAGUAAACAAAUAAUUACAUAUAUGUAACAUACAAUAUAUUCAAGCAAACAAAUAAUUACAUAUUCAUAUUAAAAGAAAAAUUUUAAGAAUAGUAACCUGAGAGCAUGGAAGUCGGUCAAUAAUGGAGAACGUUUGUGUUUAAGAAGCUAUAAAACCACAAAAAGACAAUAUCUACAAAAAAAAAAAAAACAAACAAACAAUAAUUCAUCUCAUUAUUCAUAACCUUAAAGUUUCUUUCAUCACCAAAUCAACCAAUCUAAUACAAACAAUUCAAAAUUAUAUUCCAUAAUUUCUAUAUCCCUAAUUUUUAUAUCUUUAAUCCAAAAUUAUACAAGAAUUUACAUUAUCAACCAAUUUAAUACAAACAAUUCAAAAUUUUAUUCCCCUAAUUUCUAUAUCCCUAAUUCAAAAUUAUACACCAAUUUAUGUUAUCAACCAAUUUAAUACAAACAAUUCAAAAUUCUAUUUUCGUAACUUCUAUAUCCCUAAUUCAAAAUUGUACAACAAUUUACAUUAUCAAGCAAUUUAAUACAAACACAUUUUAUUCAAAAUUAUACACAACUUAAUUCAAAAUACAUAUACAAAAGUUUUAUCAUUGCUAUUCCUAUCAAAAUACAUAUAGACAAAUUCAACCCAAUUUACUAUCAAGGACAAAGACAAAAAUGAAGGAGGUAUGAAAAACAUAUCACGCGAAGAAAAACAACGACACCAAGAAAAGGGAUGAAAGGUGGCAACACGAAUAGUAGCUUGCGACAACGACGAAGAAGGGUCGAGACGACGACGAUCAUUGGUCGAGGCAACGACGAACAACAGCUGGCGACAACAACAAUGAAGAAGGGCUGAAAAGACGAUGGCUAAUGUGCAGCGGCGACAGAUAGGCAAGGAAAAGAAGAAACAGUCGCGCGAGAUGGGAAGCAGUUCAUGUGGGGGAAGAACAAACAAUGGAAAGAGUGGUUACUGUUUUACGUUUCUAGAAUUUAUCUCUCGAAGAGGUUAUUACCUCGGUUAAGUAGAAAACUGAUGCAAUAAAACCCUUAUUGCCUCGGUUGUAAAGACAACUGAUGCGUAAACUUUUAUGAAAAAAUUCAAAAUAAAUUUCUAAAUGGAAAAUUUGAAAAUAUCUCUAACUAUAGACAUCAGUUCACAGUUAGACUAAGGCACAAAGUGCCUAUGACAUCGGUUCAAAGAGAACCAAGACAAUUUAGGUUGAUAAAAUGAACUUUGAACGUUCAGAAUCAGAGGUUGUCAGCUGCUGGCAAAAAAUAAUACCUAAGUUUUGCACAGAGAAUUGUCAGUGAAUAUCAGUGCUUGCAGAGGGAUUUAGCAAGGCCUUUUACCUCAGUUAGUCAGAGAACCGAGAUAAUAGGCCUAUUUCCAAAAAACUGUUAGGUGAAAAGUAUGAUUUGCAGAAGGGGCAAGUGGGUGACUCAGGGCUUUUUUUUGUCUCGGUUCUUCAUUGAACUGAGACAAUAUAUCCCUUAUGCAUCGGUUCCCCCUAAACCGAGACAUAUAGUUUUGUCAAAACUACAAAAAUGUACUGCAUUUUGAUACGUUUCGAUUUUUUCGAAACUGAAGCAUAAUUUGAAUGUUAAGAAAUUGUUUUUCCACCAAUGUAAUCAUUUAACGGAUGACACCAUAAACUCAAAAAAUAAUAAAUCUUUCGAUAACGAAUGAUAUAAUAGACUGAACAAACAAUAAAAGCUCAUUAAGAUAAAUUCAAACUCAUAUAACUAUAAUAUCAUGUUAGAAAAUAAACUCUAUAUUUAACUCAAUAUCAUAAAAUUGAUUUGUAAGUUGAUAUUUGUAUCUACUUAUGUAAUAUUAAAUUAUUUUAUCUUUACGCAUAUAUUAAAGGUCCUAUGGCCUGUGUUGGUUCCCAAAAUAUCACUCCAUCGAUCUCCAAUGUUUCCGAUGAAGUUUUAUCCCUCUUCCUCCACCUUCUUUCUUUUGAUUUGUAUGUAAACUCAUUAAUUGCUUGUUAACGCUAUCAUCAAUAAUUACCAAGACUUAUCUUAUGUCCUUUUGUAACAUUAUUUAAUGACUAAUGUAAUAGUACCCGACACUGAGAUAUAUAUGUUUCAAGUGCAUUAAAUAUCAAUAAAUUUAGUUUAACUUAAUUCUACAAUGACUUAUAAGUUGUAAAUUCAAUUUAUCUUUGUUGAAUGUAAACUAUUUAUAUAUUUUAAAGUAUAUAAGUCAUAAAAUAGUUAUAAGAAAAUAAACUUUUAAAUUAAAAAAAAAGUUAAAAGCAAAAAAAAAAUAAUAAUAAAGAUUUAUAUAUUUUAAAGUAUAAUUUCUUUAAGAAAAAGAAAGAAAAUGGGGAAUAUAUAGAAUAAAACAGUAUUUGUUUGAAAAUAUAAGCAAUACAUUGCUGUGUAUUUAUUUGAUUUACAUUAGUCCUCUGUUCUUUUUAAAUGGAUUAUUGUGCAUGCAUCCACACAGACAUCAGGAUUUUCUUUUUCCAAAAGUUAUUUUUAAAAACUUAGCCAAUUACCUUGUAUAUCUUUUUACACUUAUUAUUACUUUAUAUAAUACUUUACCUUGAAAGAAACAAAAAAAAAUGUAGGUAGGGUAGCUUCAGUGGAACAUUCGUAACGUUAAAAAGAUUCAUAGUUUAUUUAUUAAAGGCACAAAGAGAAAACAACGUAGUGGAGUCUCUUAUGUGACUUGUUCACGUACAUCAUAACAGCCAUUAAUGCUCCUAUUUCAAGCUCAUUGAAUUUCUGCAUGCAUAUCUUAUUUCAUAUAUAGGAGCAUGAGAGGUCAAUACUCAAUGAAUUGCAGGGGAUUAGGCAGCUUAAAGAUUCUGAGAGCUUUCACAUCUCCCCUCAAACUGCUCCACUGGUCUGCAAUAUUUGCAAUGAUUAUGUAACCCUGCUGCUCCAGCUUCGUUCUCUCAGCAUUUUUGUAUUCAGAUAAACUCUGAUUGUUUGAUGGGUCCCUGCAACCAAAAUCCAAUCGUUUAAAUCUCAUGCAUUUCGAUUAUAUCGUAGAAAAAUUAUUUAAACUCACUUGAGAAUCAACUUCUCCCAUGUGUGGUAACCAGCUUUCCUCAAGUUGGCUUCAGUUACAGCCUUUUUGUCAGUCAGUCUUUCACUCAAGAAUAUAAUCUUCAAUCUAAGACCCAGAAGUUUGUUGUAAUUCUUAAGAGUCUCAGGCAAUGCUGGUAGAUCACCCUUGUUAACAAACUCGUCAUAAAGUGUGGAAUUGAAUUUCUCCGAUCUAUAUCACAUAGAAGAAGAUGGUGAAAGAGUUACAAGUCAUGCAUGAGAAAACAAACAGAAGAUCGAUGAAUGAAAACGGAAAACUUUGUAUAAAAAGAAAGGAAAAGAGUGUACCCAUAUCCAUGCUGAGAAAAGUAUGCGACAUUGGAGAGUGCGGUUCCAUCUAUGUUGAAGAUAACUACAUGGUUGUGUUGGAUUUGGAGAUUUCUAGCGAAAAAGUAAAGUUGUUGGUUAACGGUUUUGGAGUCUGAUUGGUAUUGUCCUCCUUCGAUGUAGGCUGCUGUAGACGCCACGCACUCUUCAGGAACUGUUUCAAAGCCUAAGAUGUUUAAUGCUUCCACAGCGAGUCUCCAACUGGUGCAUCUUACGUCGUCGUGACUAGCACCAUCGCCAUAACCGUUUGGCAUUUCGAGAGGGAAGCUUCGGAAAGAACCGCCAUAGCAUUGAGAUGCCACCAAAAAUGUAGCAACAAAGAACACCACGAACUUCAUACUCAUCUCUGUAUCUCACCGCUUCUUCUUAUCUCUCAGCUAACUCUUGCAUCUUCUUCCUCCAGCCUUUGCUUCCUUAUAUAGACCAUACCUCGCUACCUCCACCACAAAUUUUCUCUUUACCUUAACCUAAUUUUUACCUCCGACAAUUUACUGUACUUUUCAAAAUCCUUUCAAAAAUAAUCAAUAUAACUAUUCAUGAAAAUUUGCAGGUACACGAUACUAAUGAUUCUCUGAUAAAUAAUCUUGAAUUUUGGUAUGGUAUUAAAGACUUUAGCUACAGUUUUUUUUAGUAUUACCACAUGGGAAGAACAAUGUAGAAUAAAACAGGUUUAAACCUUUUUUUUGUCCCUAAGUUAUAAGCGGAUGUUCAUUUAGUCCCCGUUUUUAAAAAUAUAAAUCUUUGGUCCUUAAGUUAUAAAAAAUGUAUCAAAUGAGUCAUUUUUUGACUUGAAAUAAUGUUUUUGGUUGUUUCUUAACAACUACUACAUCUUUAGAUUGCUCUGAUUUGUUUCUUAAUAAUAACAGCACUUUAGAUUGCUCUUUGUACUUUGACCAUGAACAUAAAAAAAGGACUCAUUUGAUACAUUUUUUAUAACUUAGGAAUCAAAGGUUUACAUUUUUAAAAGCGCACUAAACUGAAUAUCCGCUCAUAACUUAUAGACCAAAAAGAGGUUUAAACCAAUAAAAUAUUAAGUUCCUGGUACAAAUUUGAUUAAAAAAUAUAAAAUUUUAGUAUAUAUAAUAAGUUUCAGAAUUAGAGGUAAGACUAGAAAUAAAAUAAAUUUUAUAUAUAUAUAUAUAUAUAUAUAUAUAUAUAUAUAUAUUUUCAUCGUAUUAUUUUUAAUUGGCGGUCGGAAUGGACAUAAGAAUCGACCCUGGUUCGUUUUUUGGUUGAAAUACCAUAAGAGAUGUAAAGACGCAAUCUUUUCUUACGAAAAAAUUAGAAAAGGAAGGAGGUGUUACUACGCUACCCAUAGACACAAGCAGAAUUGCACCAAAACACAACGAAUACUUUCUAGACGUCAGUUAAUGUCAUGUCCGACGUCUAUAGUGCCCUUAGACGUCGGUUAGUGCCCUUAGACGUCGGUUAGUGCCACAUUUGACAUCUUUAUAGUGCCCUUACACAUCUAGUAGUUCCGCGACUGACGUCUAUAACAACUCAUAGACGUCAGUUAGUUCCAUGAACGAUGUCCUUAUAGACGUCGAUCAUGUCAGUGAACCGACGUCUAUAACGACGUCAUACCUGCAAAUAACCGACGUCCACUUAACGUCACCCACAUAGACGUCGGAUUUGGAUGUGACGUCAAAAAUCAAAAGUAACAUAUGUCUAAAGCCCUUUCUGCACCAGUGUAUCUAUUUAAUCCAAACUUAUAUUUAUAUAAUAGAUUUGAGAUUACUAAUUAUAUAAUCAUGAUUCUAUUGUUAUUAAUCUUCGUUUUGCAUAAAUUAAUGAUUAUAAGGUGCAAUCGUUCUUAAAAUUUUAUAUAUAUAUAUAUAUAUAUAUAUAUAUAUAUUAUGAAUCAUCAUAUGUUCCUCGAUUUUUAUAUUGUAACGUAAAAAUGGUGUUUUGCGAAAAGGACAAGACAAUAAUACUUUGAUAGUCAAACAAUUUUUACAUCCAUCUUUCACUUUCUAUUUUUCUUUACAGAUACAACAAAUUUACUUUUGAUAUCAUUUUAUCUCUAAUGUGGAUUAUUCAUGUCAAAAAUCGAGAAGCCUACAGUGGUAGUGUACGGGUGUCGAGGGAAAAAUUGGAAAGUUUUUGUUUUCUCAGUAAUUGUAUUUUGACAACCUUAUCUUCAUACUAUUUAUAGUUCUACUAAAAAUGUAUAAUACUCUAAUGUAUUUAAAAAUCAUUUUUUUUAAUUUAGAUAUUUAUAAUAGGGUUUGUUUACAUUUUAACCAUAUGUACCAGAUUAUAGUAGAUAAAAAUAACCUCAUAUAUUAUGGAUUCUAAGCUUUAAAGUCAAGGAUAUAUAAAUAUUUUCAUUCUCAAAACUAAAAAAAAAAAGAAACUCCUAAACCCUUUCUCACCUCUAAUCCUCUCAAUCUUUUCUCUUUCAUCUCUCCCACUGCAACCUUUUCUCGUCAUCUCUAUUGUAGCCCCAAUUAAAAAAAUCAGAAACGUUGGCGGUUAAGCAAAUUUUUAGAAAAAAAAAUGAUUUUAUAAUGAGUUUUCAUUUUAUAAUUUUUGUCUUAUCUAAUUUUCACAAGUAUAAUAACAUAUGAAGGAAUUGGUAAUUCACUCGGAAAAAAUCAGAAACACGCACUAUUAAACAAUUUUUUACAAAAAAUGAUUUUAUAAUGAGUUUUCAUUUUAUAAUUUUUGUCUUAUCUAAUUUUAUCUAAUUUUCAGAAGCAUAAUGACAUCAGAAAGAGUUGGUAAUUGGCCUGAAGAUGAUGAAAUUGAAGAGAUAUUGAGUGAACAUUUGCCUGAAAGCGAAUAUGCCAUUAAUGACUCAACUCUUUAUAAAGGUAAAUUGUUUAAUGACGAGUAUUUCUAAUUUUUUUUUAAGUUGGAUCUAUCAUAGGAUGAUAAGGUUGGUGUAAGAGAGACAAAAGAGAAAAGAUUGAGAGGAAUUAAAGAGGUGAGUAAGGGUUUGUGGGUUUGUUUUUAGGUUUGAGAAUGAAAAUUAUUUAAAUAUCCUUGACUUUAAAACUUAGAAUCCAUAAUAUAUGAGUGUAUUUUUGUCUACUAUAAUCCGAUACACAUUGUUAAAAUAUACCAACUGAAAACAGGCGUACGCACGUUAACAAACCCCUUUAUAAUAUUAUAAUUAAUUAUCAAGUACUUAUUUUAAAGUAAAAGGUUAUCCAAACAAAAUUUAUUGUAUUUUAGCUUAUAAGAUAUAUUUAAUACCAAAUGGACGUUUUUCAAAAUUUACAUAUAGGUUUAAAAGAUAUUGGUUUUCAUUUAUCUAUGAAUUUUAUUUUUCAAAUUUUCUAUAUACUAUUUCUAUAGUAUUAAUCGUUUAUUACUUUCGUAAUUAAACUACUUCUUUAAAAUAUAAGAAUAUAUAAAGAAAAAUUAAUCAAAAUCUUGUUUUAAGUGAGUUUGUUUAUUUUCUUACAAUUAAUAUAUAUAUAUAUAUAUAUAUAUAUAUAUAUAUAUAUAUAUAUAUAUAUAUAUAUAUAUAUAUAUAUAUAUGAGGUUUGGUAACUUGCGUAUGCCUGUUUUUUAGUUGGUACAUUUUAACAAUGUGUACCGGGUUUCAGUAGACAAAAAUAUCCUUAUAUGUCAUGAAUUCUAAGUUUUAAAGUCAAGGAUAUUUUAAUAAUUUUCAUUCUCAAAAUUAAAAGAAUAAAAAAAGAAACCCCCAAACCCUUAUCCACCUCUCUCAUUCCUCUCAACCUUUACUCUUUCAUCUCUUUCACUCCAACCUUUUCUCUGACAUCCCUACUCUAGUUCCAAUUGAAAAAAAAUCAGAAACACUUGCGUUAUUUUAAUAAUUCUCAUUCUCAAAACUACAAAAAAAAAACUCAAACCCUUACUCACCUCCCUCAUUCCUCUCAACCUUUACUCUUUCAUCUCUUUCACUCCAACCUUUUCUCUGACAUCCCUACUCUAGUUCCAAUUGAAAAAAAAUCAGAAACACUUGCGUUAUUUUAAUAAUUCUCAUUCUCAAAACUACAAAAAAAAAACUCAAACCCUUACUCACCUCCUUCAUUCUUCUCAACCUUUUCUCCUUCAUCUCUCUCACUUAAACAUUUUCUCUAUCAUUUCUGCACUAGUCCCAACUAAAAAAAUACUCAUUAUUAAAUAAAAUGGUUGGAGAAAAAAAAUACUUACAUAAAUAAAAAAAAUUAAAGCACCUAGUUUUUUCUUUAUAUAAUUUUAAAUAAAAUUUUAAGAUUUAGUAUUUUUAUUGUUUGAUUUUAUCGUUGAGAAUUUUAUUGUAUUUUGAUUUGUUAUUUCUUUAGUAAAAGAAAACAAAUUAAUGAAUUUCUACAAAAAAAAAAAAUUAAAUAGCCACGGAGUAAUGUUAGGUAGUAGUCUCAGAAUGUAAAGGAAGGAUACUCAUAAGUCUUGGUGCAAGUUGUGCCCGUCGGCUGUAAUAUAUAUAGUGAAGAUAAUGAAAUUAAAGAUAUUAUGAAUGAACUUUUUUCAGAAGGUGAAUAUGUCAAUGACUCAAAUCUUUACAAAAGUAAAUUGUUUAAUAAUGAGUGAUUUUUUAGUUAGGGCUAGUGCAGAAAUGACAGAGAAAAUGUUUGAGUGAGAGAAAUGAAGGAGAAAGGGUUGAGAGGAAUGAAGGAGGUGAGUAAGGGUUUGGGGUUUCUUUUAUUAAUUUUGAGAAUGAAAAUUAUUAAAAUAAGAUAAGUGUUUCUGAUUUUUUUCAAUUAGGGCUAGAGUAGGGAUGACAGAGAAAAGGUUGGAGUGAGAGAGAUGAAAGAAAAAUAUUAAGAGGAAUGAGAGAGGUGGGUAACGGUUUGGGUUUUUUUUUUUUUUUUUUUUUUUUUUUUUUUUUAAAUUUUGAGAAUGAAAAUUAUUAAAAUAUCCUUGACUUCAAAACUUAGAAUCUAUGAUAUAUAAGGGUAUUUUUGUCUACUGAAACCUGGUACACAUUUCUAAAAUGUACCAACUGAAAAAUAAGCGUACGCAAGUUAGCAAACCCCUAUAUAUAUUCUUCUAAAUAUGUGUCGGUUUUAUAUUUUAUAUGUUUGAAUGAACUGAUAAAUGUGAAAGUUUUCUAUAGGAAAUUGUUUCAUGUAUUUUUAAAUUAUUCAUCAACACUUGAUAUAUAAUAUGAAAGAAGAUAAAUGUUGUAAGUCUUUGAUAUAUGAUGCGAUAAAAGAUGAAAAACAAGAAGAAAAAGUAGUUGUUUAAUAAAUAUAUUAGAGUUAAAUAUGUUUUUAGUUUCUAUAAUUUGGGGUGAUUUUGGUUUUAGUCUCUCUUUCAAAUAAAUUAAGGUACAAUUUAGUCCUUCAACUUUAAAAAAAUUUUGGUUUUAGUCCUUUUUACCAAUUUUUUUUUUUAAUUUUAUUUUCUGUUUCAAACAUGUUUCAUUAUAACAUUUGGAUUGUUUACACGGGUUUGACAUGUUUUUGCUUUAAUGUUAAUGAGAAAUGCAUUUGAAAUAGCAAAUAAAGUUAAAAAAAUUUGGUAAAAAGGACUAAAACCAGAGUUUUUUAAAGUUGAAGGACUAAAUUAUAUCUUAGUUUGAAAGAUGAAAUAAAACCAAAAUCGCCUCAAAGUAUAGAGACUGAAAAUAUAUUUAACCCAAUAUAUUAUUAAGAGCAUAUGUACAUUGUUCCUUUUUGUAAUUUGAACACGUAAAAAUGUUCAUUAUAUACACUAAGAAAAAAUAGUUUAUUUUAACAGGGAUUUAGGGAUUUUUUUAACGGAGGUUAUAAUAACUCUAGUAAGAAUAACGAAUAAUGGGGUUUCCCAACCCCUGAUAAAGUUUGUGGGUGUUAUAUUUUAAUACACAAGUAUUAUAAUAUCGUAUUUAACAUCGUGGAGUUUAAUUAAUAUUUAUAUGAAUUUGAAAUUAUUUAUAUGAACCGAUUGCUUUAUAUGCUAACAUUGGUUUUAUUGGUCUAUUUAAUAGUUAAAAAUUCUAUUAAAUUAAUAUAUAUUUAUACAUAUAUUAUGCCAUGUAUAUUUUAUUUGAGAAUAACUAUAAUUGUUUGAAAUUAAUAAAUACAAAUGUUUUGGAGGGCUCCGAUGCCAUGAAUCUUAUUGUAUGCGGAGAAUAUUAAGAUACGUUAUACACGCUGUCAUCUAUGUUUAAAGUUAUCAAGAUUUAUAUUUUCAUUUGUACUAAAAAUAUCUUUUAUUAUACAUAAAAAGAAAAAAAUAAUGUUAAUAUAAGAUUGUUUAAGUAAACACUAUUUUGAACUUCAUCAUAAUGUUUAAAACAAAAUAAUGUUUAAUCUUCUAGGACAAUUUGUUAGAAAUCCAAAUUAAGUGUGUAAAUGAUAGAAGAACAAUUAAUGUUAUAACAAAUGUUUUUAUCAGUACCAAAUAUUAUAGGAUUUAUAACAAAACGUCUCAUUGCAACAAUAUUUGAUAUAAAAUUAGAUCAUCUAAAAUACAUGCCGUCAACGUUAAACAUUAUAUAUCUUAAACGAUUUAACUUACUCAAAACAGAAAAGAGCUAAAAGAUAAUACAUAUAUACGUUCUAUACAUGCCUUCUGCUUGUCUCAUUUGUACACAACAUAAUUAUUUUGUUAGAACGCAACAUAACUUCUGAUAAUACCGUAAAUGUCACACCUAGAAGAAAUUUGAAAGCUUUGAGUAACAUUUUUUUUCGAAGAAGUAUAUAUGAAUAGGAUCUCUUUCUAAACUCUUAAGAUUUAUUUUUGAAAACAAAAAUUACAAGUUUCUAAAUGUUCACUGUAUUAUUUCCAUAUCCAUUUUAUAAUAAUAAUCUUUCGUUUGGUAAACCUUCAAAAACACUUUGUUGUUUUAGUAAAACUUCGUAAAGAAUUCUAAAAAAGAACAAAACCCGACUUAGUUUGAAGUAAAUCAAUAUAAAAAUAAAGAAUAUUUUAUUAUUUUUGUCCUUAAAUAAUUUUUCAUUCAAAAAUCUUCACAAACUCAAAUUUUUAACUAUUAUGUUAGACCGUCGAAUUCUUACAAAAUAAUAAUAAAAACUAUUUGUGAAAUUUUUUUAAUACUUUAUCCAAACUUCUGUUUUUAGUAUUUUGUUGUGUUUCAAAUAAAAGUGAAAAAAGUGAAAAUCCAGAUGAAACAUGUGAUUUGAUAAAUAAAAGGCAAGUCAUAAUUUGAUCAACCUGAACCAGAAAAAGUGAGUUGCUCAGUUUUGAAUUUUAACACCUGGAACCUAAACCAAUUUGAGUUUAUAUAUCUCAGAUAUUUUUAAAAUUUUUAAUAAUUUAAAAGUAAUAAUUUAGAUAAAAUAUAUAAGAAGAAUUUUAUAAAGCAAAUAAUAUAUAAGUUAAUUUUAACUUUUAUUGUAACAUCCCAAUAAAUGUAUAACAAAAGCUAUAAUUCAUUUUAGGAGUUAACAUGAAUAAUAAGUGAGAACAGUAAUGAAUAAGCAUAGAUGAAUGGAAGAAGAAUGAAAUGUCAUUAAAAUUUUAAGUUCUACAUUAGUUUAGAUAGAAUACAACAUUUACAAAAUAGACCGAACGAUCUAGGGUAGAGUUUAUUGACCUAACGGUCAACAUCAAAAGGUUCCCUAUAACUAAAUGAAAAUAAAAGAAACUAUUCUAAGGACCAGAUGGUCCUGCAUAACUUUCAGGCACAGCCUCCACGGGUUGCUCGGCCUGCACGGCAUCCUCCAGAGUAUCCUCUAAAGCAGCUUCCAAGGUAUCAUCCAAGGUACCCUCUGCUCACACCCAAAAGGAUGAUCAUUGCAUUUGAAGGGAAUGACCGAACGGUCAAAUACCGAACGACAACAUAGGCAAAGACAUAACAGAUAAGGGUAAGCUUAUGUAAAUUUAAUUAAUCAUUUCAUCAUACAAGUAAACAUAUAAGCAGAAACAAUUAAUCAUGUUAUACACACAAUUACUACACAUGCAUACUACGUUCCUUUAAUUAUGACCGACCACUAAGACACUGUUCGGACAGUAUGAACCACGUAGCCCAACGUCCCUAGCACCCCGUGUGGUGUAGUAACUGCCUUUACUUAUCAGCUGCCACCCGAGGUUAGUCCUCAAACGAUCAUCUGUUUAUAUGACCGCGGACCUUCUGUCAUUCCCACACAUGAGUAACCUUUCUCUACAUGAGAAAGCGUCAUCACGGAAUAUCAGGAUCAGGACGACAACCAGAGUCUGACCAUGUUCAUACUUUACCAAUCAUCACCAAUUCAUGAGACAUUCCUCCAUUGGAAUUCCCUUACUCAGCCAAACUCAAUCAAUGUUCAUAAAUUACUUUUCAUAUGGGAAAGGUGUUAAGAAAACAAUCAAAGAUAGAAUAAGAUAUUGAAUAAGACAAGAACGUUUGACCGGAUGGUCUGGCAAGGAAUAAGACCGGACACUAAAGGAUGAACUAUAAAUGAUAGUCAUCCGGAUGGUCUAGCAGUAAAUGUUAUAAACAAAUGCCUUUAAGAGUUUAAGUAUUGGUAUAAUACCGAACACUACAUAAUCGAAGGUUGGUCUAUGACCUAACACUUCUCAAACCGGACGGACUACAAAAUGAGAAACUCUUCAAAGAAAUAAAAGGGACUUUAGUCAAGUAAAACUGGACGUUUCAAUACACAAAGGAUCACUAGACCGAACAGUCAUUAAGUGACCGGACGGUUUUAAAGGGAAGGAUAUUAAAUUCGACUGCUUCAUAAACUAAGUGUUAGCCUAAAGUCGAACCCUUAUAAGACCGAACACUUGGUUUAUAACCGACGUCCUUAAAUAAUUAUCAACAAUACAUUAAUUGAGAUCAACUGAAUUUAGAAACUCACUAUGCCGAACAGUCCGAAUGGACUGGACGGUAAAGGGAGGACCGAACGGUCCUAAUGACCUUCGAUCACAGAUUCAUAUUUUCUCUAAGUUUCAUACAUUCAUACCAAGUACAGAAUUUAAAAUUCAUACAUGUCAUACAAUUCAUACAGCAGCAUACAAUAUCUCAAUCAUGCCAAAUAAAUCAAAUAACAUACAUUAAAUCAUGCAUACAUUCAACCAAGAAAUUAUAAUUAAACUUUAUAAGCUUCCCUUACCUCUAGUUCCAGCUAAACUUCUAAGGUACGUGGACGACAACAAUUUCUUCAAAGGUUUCCAAAACUCUAGAGUUAAACACCAAAAAUGGUUUCAUAGAAAUGGUUUAACAGUCACAUGCAAGCCUUAAGGGUGCAGCAUGCAAGAAGACAAAGAGGUUUUAAGGAUCAUGACACUUACCGGUCCCGAACGGAAAUCUGUUUGGUGCAAGUUGAAGGUCUUGAUGUCGGUAGUCAGAAUCCUGAAUGGAUGCAAGUGAUCGAAGGAGAGAUGAAGGUUAGAAUCUUAGAGAGAAGGUUGGGAAGUUUAGAGAGAAGGAGGAGAAUUUGAGUUUUUAGAGAGUUGAAGCUUUGAGGAAAAGAAGGUUUGCAUGGGAAAAGUGGCGUCAGAUUUCAAUCUCACCUUAAAUACUGCCUCCACUAAAACGUGCGGCCCACUCCCAGCUUGCCACCUGACUUCCACUUUCUGGAACUUCACAUCCCUUCAGCUGCCACACGGAUCACGGAGAAAGGGAAUUAAUUACUGGCAGUGUAACAUCCCAAUUCUGAUAGUUAUGGGAAAAAUAUGUUCUUUUGAUAGCGAAAAACAAAAUAAUUCAUUCAUAUAAAUCUUAGACUGAGGUAAUAAACAAUAAACCAUCACAGUCCCAUUAAAGGGAAAUUUAUUACAAACUGGAAAUUUCCAAAUCAACUGAAAAUAAAAUAACAUAAUUCAAUUUAACUGAAAUUGUUCAAAAACAAAGAAAAUCUUUCCCAUUCCAUUCCCGACUUCUUUCCGCUCUAAUUAUCAACUGGAACAUCUGUAUCAACAUCUGCUCCCGUAUAACAACACGAGUUAUACGAUCAUCGCAUUCAUACACAAACAAUAAGGGUAAGCUACCAUAUUCAAAUACAACAUCAACACAUCAAUUAUUACGUAACAAAAUGAUAUGGUUAACAUGACGUAUUCAAUUAAGUACACCAAAAUCAAUAAAUAUAGAAGAUACACACUGUCUCUUUGUACUCUCUCAUAUAAAACCUGUUCACCAAAACAGGACAGUUCGAGUCAUCCUCCACCGCAGCUUCAGAUCUAUCUCCCCUGCUCCUCAAGACUUAUGAGUAAAAACUCUGCUACUUUCACAAUGGGCACUAUACUAAGCUCGAUUGGAAAACCUACGGGCGAGACAUCCAACCCUUUCUACCCUCUCGAAAGAGGAAAGAGUGGCACUCGAACCUUGUCUCUUCUACCGUCUUUUAUAGACGAAGAGACCUACCUUUCUACCCUCUCACACGAGGAAAGGUACUAUCUCGAUAUUUUACACCGACACAGUGAGAGUACAUAUUUCAAUUAUAUCAAUACUUAAAAUAAUNUUCGAAUAUUAUCAUCACGCAUUUUAUUUACUCUAACAUAUAUUCCUGUCAAAUCCAUAGUAUUUCGUNGUAACCAAAAUCACAUAUAUAUAAAUAAACAGUACUCGCGUCAUAUAAAACUGAUACCCGAAAUCGGUACAUANUUCAUGCACAUAUAGACACGCCAAAACUCAGAAAGUUUCUCAAAUUGCUACACAUUUUAUUCUCUCUCAUCUGCAUCAAACUUUAAGACACCUAACCCAGACUUUAUUCGAUACUACAUAUUAAAGAGUUCAAUUAAUGAACGAAACAGAAACUACCACUUAACAAAAUAACAUUUUAUAUCCUUAUAAUAUAAUAUUAUCUUAUAUUAUUUCUAUCCUGGACUAAUAUAAUAUUAAUCAUAUAACCCAUAUAAUAUAAUUUAUAAAACUAACCUACGCCACAUGUAAUGUUAUAAAUUAACCUAAUAUUAUAACGUCAAUCACAUAACGUCAAAUAAUAAACUAAUANNNNNNNNNNNNNNNNNNNNNNNNNNNNNNNNNNNNNNNNNNNNNNNNNNNNNNNNNNNNNNNNNNNNNNNNNNNNNNNNNNNNNNNNNNNNNNNNNNNNNNNNNNNNNNNNNNNNNNNNNNNNNNNNACUUUAACAUAAUGAAAUAUUAUCUAUGAAUUAAUCUAAUAUAAAAUCAUAUCACUGACUCACUUUCACGUGNUUUAAUUUGCUGGAGCUAUCCAAAUAACCCACCUAGAAAAAGAAUACUACUGCAUCCAAAAUAUAUUAUACACUGUCUUCUAAGAAUUUCAUCACAGUAUCACUUUAUACACUCAGAACUGAUAAAAUAUUAGCUUCCAAGGUUUUCUUGCAGAAUCGCCUUGAUUGAAUGGUCUUUCGUUUAGUCGGCUAAAACCAUGCUCUCAUAAUUAAUUUAAUCACUAAAAAAAAACACAAUGCAAUUUCUAAACUUUUCUGAUAUAACAUUUCUGAUAUAACAUUUCUUCCCAACCUUCAAUCCAUCUCUUAUGCAACACCCAUCAGGUUCUUAAAUCACUACUAUAAAACCAAUUAGCAAACUUGACAUGUACCUUAUCACUAUAUGCAUGCAAAGCAUAUUCAUACUGCACUUAUGAUCAUAUAUUAUAUGCAUCGUCGCAUCAGAAAGUGGCUAUGACAGUCUCGGUUAAACACAUCAGAGAAUCAUGCAAUGUCCUCUCUCUAUGAUAACUUUUCAGAAUGAAAUCUCCAAAAAAAAAAUGCAGUGAACCCCAUUACUUCUAACCCAGUAUAAAAUUUCACCUGUGUUUUCUUCCACCUAUGUUAAUGCCAAAAUAUACCCCAGUGAGAUCAUUAUAUCUAGAUAUACCACUAACUUGAACACCCUUCUCGGUCCAAGACAACCGGCUUACAUCCCUAACCAAGUCGAACAUGAUGAACAUUACAGAACCUUGGGAGAUCUAAAUUCUAUAUUCACNAAUUACUAUAUAUNAACCUGACUCUGUGCGUUUACAUCAAACCCUAUCGAAAGAAUCAAAGAACCAAAUCUUACACUGAGAAAAUAGAUGGAUUCACGAAAAUCAUUCAUCACAGUAUAUAUUGCGUCUCGAUAAAACAACACGUAACAUAAACAUAUUUUAUACAAAAGCAACAGUAAGGGUAUCAAACAACAUACACAGAAUAAUACGAAGCUUCCCUUACCUUGGAUGAUCCUAGGUUUCCGGUCAAAACUUUCACCUCUUUUCAAGCUCACUUCCUUGCCUCAAAUAACUUCAAACUAUUUCCUUUGAUUUUCCAGCCACUAUCUCACAAUGCACCCUCUCUUUUCUCUCUGUUUUCUUCUUCUUCUUUUUUUAACUUUAUAUCCCGAACGUAAUAUAAUCUCCCUUCACUUCCCUACUUUAAUACCCAUAACUCCACUAACUCUAACUGUUCACUCCCUUCCGUUGCCUUUCUUUUCGGCAAAGAUAUCUAUAACGUUACAAAAUUAAAACUAAAUCUCCUUUAAUUAUUUAUUUAAUUAUUUAUUUUAUUUUAUUUUUAUGUUGUUACUACCCAUAAUUUUAACUAAGUGGCCCCACCAAUAACCUUUCUCUGCAUCACAACUUAAUUCCUCUAAAGUACGUAGACUUCAUGCUGAAUAAAAUAAUUAAUAACAGAGCACAACAAUUUCUAACCUACUGGAAGAAGAAAAAAAAAUCAAAUAAAUUAAUAAAAUAAAUAAAUAAUUUAUUCAUUAGUAAAAAUUAAACACAAACCACUAAACCAACAAGGAACUAUCCCAACAAAAUUUUAUGUUCUAAAAUUUUUAGGGUCUUACAUUCUCCCUAUCUUCAAAAAUUUUCGUCCUCGAAAAUAUUUUCAUUCAGGAAAAAGAUGCGGAUAUUCCUUCUUCAUAUACUCUUCUAAUUCCCAAGUCAUUUCCUGAGUCCCUUCAUUCCAAAGCACCUUCACCAUGCGAAUAUCCUUUCCUCUNAGGUUUUUAGUUUGCUCAUCUAAUACUUUCACUGGUCUAGUAUCCAAAGUUAGAUCCUCUCUNACUUGUAUAUCAUCUACCUCUAGCACAUGAGUUGCAUUUGGAACAUAUUUCCUCAAUUGAGAUACAUGAAACACAUUAUGUAAGUUCGCCAACUGUGGUGACAGGGCUACCUCAUAAGCUACAGGUCCUAUCCUCCUAAGAAUCUCAUACGGUCCGAGAAAUUUUGGUGACAACUUCUUUGACUUAAUAGCUCUCCCAACUCCAGUUGUCGAUAUCACCCGUCGAAACAUAUGAUCUCCUGUCUCAAACUCUAGCGGUCUCCUUCUCUUAUCUGCAUAAGAUUUCUGCCUGCUCUGAGUUGCCCGCAUUCGUUCCUGAAUUAACUUUACCUUCUGUGUGGUUACCUGCAACAACUCAGGCCCCACUGUCACUGCUUCCCCAUCGUGAUACCAACACAAAGGUGUUCAACAUCUUCUCCCAUACAAGGCUUCAAAAGGCGUCAUUCCGAUGCUGGAGUGGUAACUGUUGUUGUAUGUGAACUCUACUAAGGGUAAGAUCUCACUCCAACCUCCAAGAUGAUCUAGCACACACGUUCUUAACAAAUCCUCUAAGGACUGAAUAGUCCUUUCAGACUGUCCAUCGGUUUGAGAAUGGUACGCUGAACUCAUUCUCAACUGUGUACCCAAAGCUCCUUGCAACGUCUGCCAAAACCUCGAUAUGAAUCUUGGAUCUCGGUCAGAUACAAUACUCGCAGGUACCCCUUGCAAUCUUACUAUCUCCUGGAUAUACAACUCCGUCAGCUUUUCCAUUGACAUGCGCAGGUUGACCGGUAAAAAGUGGGCACUCUUCGUUAGUCUAUCAACGAUCACCCAGAUGGAGUCAUGACCCUUCAAUGAUCUAGGUAAGUGAGUUACAAAAUCCAUCGAGAUACUNUCCCACUUCCANUGAGGAAUCUCCAAUUGUUGCAACAUUCCUCCCGGCCUCUGGUGCUCCACCUUGGCUUUCUGACAAACCAAGCAGGACAACACAAAAUCUGCCACAUCCUUCUUCAUUCCAUCCCACCAAAAUGAUUCUUUCAAAUCCUUAUACAUCUUAGUCAUACCUGGGUGUAUACUAAGACGACUCUUAUGCCCUUCCUCCAAGAUCAUCCUUCUCAAUUNUGGUUUCGCUGGAACGCACACCCUAUUCCGGAACCGAAGAAUACCAUCUGCCCCUAAGACAAAAUCCUUGGCCUGAUCGGUACCCAAUAAAUCCACGAUAUGUUGCAGUCUCAAAUCUUCUACUUGUUCUGCCUUUAUUUGCUUUAAGAAAUCGCUGGUAAUUGUCAAGUGACUACACCAUAUAUGAUCUUGAUUCAACUGNAACCCCAAGUUCAUAUCCCGCAACUUCUCUAUGAGCUCCAACUCUUUCACCAUCAGGGCAGACAUUUGAACUCGUCUUCUACUCAAGGCAUCUGCAACAACAUUUGCUUUUCCUGGAUGNUACAAUAGCUCAAAGUCAUAAUCUUUUAGGUACUCCAUCCAUCUCCUUUGACNCAUGUUCAACUCCUUUUGAUCGAAUAAGUACUUCAAACUUUUGUGAUCACUGAAAACUUGGAAUCGUGCCCCAUAAAGAUAGUGCCUCCACGUUUUUAAGGCAAACACCACAGCAGCCAACUCGAUAUCAUGCGUUGGAUAAUUCUUCUCAUGCACCUUUAACUGACGAGAUGCAUAUGCCACUGGUCUUCCACUUUGCAUCAAAACACAUCCGAGCCCUUGAUAUGACGCAUCACAAUACACUUCAAAAGCCUUAUCGGUAUCUGGGAUAACUAGAACAGGAGCAGUCGUCAAUCUCUUCUUCAUUUCCUCGAAGCUAGCCUCACACUUGUCUGACCAAACAAAAGGUUGGUCCUUGCGAGUCAACUGAGUUAAAGGCCCUACUAUCUUGGAGAACCCAUCCACAAACCUUCGAUAAUAACCUGCCAACCCUACAAAGCUUCUUACCUCUGUCACAGAUGUCGGUCGCUCCCACUUCAACACCGCCUCUACCUUUGCUGGAUCCACUGAGAUUCCUUGAGCAGAUAUCACAUGCCCUAGAAANUNGACUUCCUCCAACCAGAACUCGCACUUUGACAACUUACCAAAAAGUUGGCGUUCCCUCAAGAUCUCCAACACAGUCCUCAGGUGUUCUGCAUGCUCUUCUCGAUCCUUAGAAUAAAUUAGAAUGUCGUCAAUGAAUACGACCACAAAUUUGUCCAGACAAGAUCGGAAAAUUCAAUUCAUAUAAUCCAUGAAAAUUGCCGGAGCAUUCGUCACGCCAAAAGGCAUUACCACGUACUCAUAAUGUCCAUAACGCGAUCUGAAAGCCGUCUUUUGAACAUCCUCCGGUUUGACUAAAAUCUGAUGAUAUCCUGACCUUAGGUCAAUCUUUGAAAACACAGNNGCACCCCUUAGCUGAUCCAACAGGUCAUCAAUUCUCNGCAAGGGAUAUUUAUUCUUAAUCGUAACCUUGUUUAGUUGGCGAUAGUCAACACAUAACCUUGAGCUCCCAUCCUUCUUCUUCACCAACAGUACUGGAGCUCCCCAAGGCGAUACACUUGGACGAAUGAACUUCUUUUCUAAAAGGUCUUCUAUUUGAUUCUUNNNNNNNNNNNNNNNNNNNNNNNNNNNNNNNNNNNNNNNNNNNNNNNNNNNNNNNNNNNNNNNNNNNNNNNNNNNNNNNNNNNNNNNNNNNNNNNNNNNNNNNNNNNNNNNNNNNNNNNNNNNNNNNNNNNNNNNNNNNNNNNNNNNNNNNNNNNNNNNNNNNNNNNNNNNNNNNNNNNNNNNNNNNNNNNNNNNNNNNNNNNNNNNNNNNNNNNNNNNNNNNNNNNNNNNNNNNNNNNNNNNNNNNNNNNNNNNNNNNNNNNNNNNNNNNNNNNNNNNNNNNNNNNNNNNNNNNNNNNNNNNNNNNNNNNNNNNNNNNNNNNNNNNNNNNNNNNNNNNNNNNNNNNNNNNNNUCAAUAAGAACAUGAUUUGUGGUUAACCAAUCCAUCCCGAGGAUUACAUCCAACCCUUCCAACGGAAGGCACACCAAAUUAACCUUGAAUUUGCGUCCGGCUACUUCAAGCGGACACCCAACACAAACUGAUUUAGUUGAUACCUGCCCCGAUGUUGGGGUAGACACCACCAGCUCACACCCAAGGUCACACACAGGUAACCCAAGCUUCCCCAAGCACGCAAAGGAUAUAAACGAAUGCGAUGCUCCAGAGUCAAACAAGACAUACACAGAAUGUCCAUAUAGAAAACAAGUGUCAAGAAUAAGAUUACCUGAUUUUGCAGCUUCAACUCCUGACAUUGCAAACACUCUGCCAGCUGCUCGUGGAUUCCCACCAGAUGGCUUCUGAUAUGACCCUCCACCUGGUGCCCUUUUCUCAGGACAAGAAAAAGACAUAUGUCCCGGCUUGCCACAGGUAUAACACUUCUUCUCAUCAGUUUUUCCUNUCAUGAGUUUGGGACAGCUAUGCCUGAAAUGAGCUCCCCCGNACUCGAAACACUUCACUGGUCCUGGUUUGAACUGGCCAGACCUGACAUAAGAUUUCUUCUGUUGUGGCUUCUUGAAGAAGUUGCUCUUCGGGGUCCGUAUAACUUGAUUGGGAUCAUUUUCAAGUAGUUCUACNGUCUUUGCCUUCUCAACUAGGGCAGGAAACUCCUUAAUCUCCAAAGGCACAAUCNUCUUCCUUAAUUCAUAUCUUAGCCCUCGUUCGAAUCUCCGACAUCUCCACUCUUCAGACAUAUUUUGUGUGUAGAAACGGGCUAAGUACUCGAAUCUAUUAACAUAAGCUUGCACCGUCAUUUCCUUUUGCUGUAGUGUUAAGAAUUCAGUCUCUCUCUCAAUCUUGGCACUGUUCGGAAAAUACUUUUCCAAAAACUUGGUCUUGAAACUAUCCCAAGAGAUGGUUUCGCCACGAGCUCUCAUCAACUGUUGCAUUCCGUCCCACCAGUACUAUGCCUCAUCUUCUAGGAGGAAAGAUGCAUAUGCAAGUUUCUGUUCCUCUGAGAAGGUCAUCACUCGAAAAAUCUUCUCAUUCCCUCUGAUCCACGAUUCUGCUUUGUCUGGAGUGGUCUUUCCAUUGAAUUUCGGGGGAUCAUGUCUCAAGAAAUCAUUUAAACCAGAACUAUUCCUUGGCACCUGAGUAGCAUGUUGUCGCUCCAUCGCACUGACCAUACGGUCGACAGCUUGAGAGAAUACAUCAAUCCUAUGUGGUUGACUUUGAUCGCCAGUCCUGUGUGUCAUGUUCUUUUAAACAAAGAAAAUCACUUAGCAUAAUCACUCAAUACACUAUACACAACUAUUACAAUUAUAGAGAUACACUGUCAAAGCUAGCCGAGCUCACAUCCCCAAGGCCCAAAGAUUUUCGAAAACCAGGCUCUGAUACAAAAAUGUAACAUCCCAAUUCUUAUAGUUAUAGGAAAAAAAUAUGUUCUUUUGAUAGCGAAAAACAAAAUAAUUCAUUCAUAUAAAUCUUAGACUGAGGUAAUAAACAAUAAACCAUCACAGUCCCAUUAAAGGGAAAUUUAUUACAAACUGGAAAUUUCCAAAUCAACUGAAAAUAAAAUAACAUAAUUCAAUUUAACUGAAAUUGUUCAAAAACAAAGAAAAUCUUUCCCAUUCCAUUCCCAACUUUUUUCCGCUCUAAUUAUCAACUGGAACAUCUGUAUCAACAUCUGCUCCCGUAUAACAACACGAGUUAUACGAUCAUCGNAUUCAUACACAAACAAUAAGGGUAAGCUACCAUAUUCAAAUACAACAUCAACACAUCAAUUAUUAAGUAACACAAUGAUAUGGUUAACAUGACGUAUUCAAUUAAGUACACCAAAAUCAAUAAAUAUAAAAGAUACACACUGUCUCUUUGUACUCUCUCAUAUAAAACCUGUUCACCAAAACAAGACAGUUCGAGUCAUCCUCCACCGCAGCUUCAGAUCUAUCUCCCCUGCUCCUCAAGACUUAUGAGUAAAAACUCCGCUACUUUCACAACGGGCACUAUACUCAGCUCGAUUGGAAAACCUACGGGCGAGACAUCCAACCCUUUCUACCCUCUCGAAAGAGGAAAGAGUGACACUCGAACCUUGUCUCUUCUACCGCCUCAUAUAGACGAAGAGACCUACCUUUCUACCCUCUCGAAAGAGGAAAGAUAUUACCUCAAUUUUUACACCAACAUAAUGAGAGUACUACUAUAUUAAAAGUACUACUAGUGUAUUAUCAUUAUCACACAUUCUUUAUCACCCUAACAUGCCUUUCUGUCAACCCAGAAUAUCCUAUCACAAAUAAAGUCAUAACAAAAAAAAAAAAAUCAAAACUAAUGAUACUCUGUAGAACUCAUACUCGUGCACCUACAUCUCCCGUAACCGUUUCUGAAUUAACAUAUUUCGUUCUCCCGUAUCAGUAUACAACCGUUAUAAAAUUUAUGGCAACUUACAGGGACUGCUGACUGCCCCCACACAUCACCACGAGACUUUCCAGUGUGCUUUGUCCUCACUCGCACACUUUCCGGGAAAACUUCCCGGAAGGUCACCCAUCCCAGAAUUUCUCCAGGCUAAGCACGCUUAACCAUGGAUUUCUUAUGGGUUAGGCUACCGAAAAGUAAAUGCAUUUUGGUGAUAUGGGUAGCCAAAUCAAUUCCUUUAAGCUAUCUUUCAACUAUAUAGUCCAUACCUAUACAAUCUCCAGAUCCCUCUCAUUCUGGUGUAUGUUCGAUUCGUCCAUGUGCCCCUUCCACUCGAAGCCUGCCAGGAGCCGCUCCUUGUCCGUGCCCCCUGCACCAUGCCUCUUGCACCGACGAGCAUUUCCCGCCCUCGUCAGUGCCCGGGUGUCACAUGAUUCAGUCAACGGUCCCUGUAAGUUGCCAGGACGUUACAAAUGGUACAGAGCCUAGCCUCUCCCAAUACGGUGUGGUUCGAGGACGAACCAUACGGAAGCUGGUGGGCAUGUGACACCCGGGCACUGACGAGGGCGGGGAGUGAUCGCUGGUGCAAGAGGCAUGGUGCAGGGGGCACGGACAAGGAGCGGCUCCUGGCAGGCUUCAAGUGGAAGGGGCACAUGGACAAAUCAAACAUACACCGGAAUGAGAGGGAUCUGGAGACUGUAUGGGUAUGGGACUAUACAGUUGAAAAGAUAGCUUAAAGGAAUUGAUUUGGCUACCCAUAUCACCAAAAUGCAUUUACUUUUCGGAAGCCUAUCCCAUAAGAACUCCAUGGUUAAGCGUGCUUAACCUACUCACCAGGGAAGAGGGGACGGGUUGACAAGUGUACCCCACUAAGGAGGGGUAUUAAAUGGGGUGUGACAUUUAUUAUAUUUUAUAGAAAUAUUUUAAAGAAAUUUGUGAAGAUAUCCAUAAUCAUCCCCUGUAACCAUCUCUUUCUUCCUUACUGGCAGUAUAACUCUCACUUGAUUACUAGCUACCUCUUCUUAACUAUUGGAAAUAUGUGAACCUUAUUGAAAUUAUUAAACAAAGAGUGAAAGUCAUAAAAAUAAUAAUGUAAUUUUAUUUAUUUGAAAUUAUUUUAGUAAUUAAAAAAUAUAUUGCACCAAUAUAUUUUUUUUGAGUAAUGAUACUUUGAUACCUUAAGAUAUCAAAUCCAUUCAUUUGAUACGGUUAAACUUCAAAGUACGGUUAUAGAUUAUAGCUUAUAGGUUAUAUUCUGUACUUAAUGGAUAUAUUCAGUGUUUAAUGAAUAUAUUCAGUAUUCCAAUUUUAAAGUACUUAUAGAAUAUAAUCAGUACCCGAUAAAUGAUGUAUUAAAACAAGGGUUUUAUCAGUCUCAGCAAAACCUGUGAUGAACAUGGAUUUGUCCUGAGGAAUGGCAGACUAAAUACACUUGUGUUCGUUUCUCCUUUCUAUUGGAUUGGAGAUUAGAGUAAUGUUAGCAUUCAGAUCCAUCUUCAGUCCUGGUCCGAAAAUACUACCUUUUCAUGAAAUGGUAAUCAAAUAAUUGGACUCGACCGAGAUUUAAAAUUUUAAAAUUGUGUAAUUUGAUUGGUGAAGAAAGUUUAUCAGUGAAACCAUUACAUGUCACUUGUUAAAGUAUAAUUAUUCAUUUUCUUUUUCCAAAAGUUAUUUUUUAAAACUUAGCCAAUUACCAUAUAUAUCCUUUUACACUUAUUACUUUGUAUAAUACUUUACCUCUUGAAAAAGAGAAAGAUAAUGUACGUACAGUAGCUUGUAAGGGACCAUUCGUAACUUUAAAAAGAUACAUAGUUUAUUAAAGCCACAGAGAGAAACCAACGUAGUGGAGUUUCUACUGUGACUUGAUCACGUACAUCAUAACAGCAUAAAGCAAACCUAUACACAGCCAUUAACGCUCCUAUUUGAAGCUGAUCAUCAUCUUAUUACAUAUAUAUAGGAGCAAGCUAUAGCCAUGAAAGGUCAACUACUCAAUGAAGUACAAGGGAUUAGGCAGCUUAAAGCUCCUGAGGCCUUGGUUUCCUCCUUUCAAACUGCUCCACUGGUCUGCAACAUUUGCAAUAAUUCUGUAACCCUGCUGCACCAGCUUCCCUCUCUCGGUUGAUUUGUAUUCAAGUGUAUUUUGACCGUUUGAUGGCUCCCUGCAACCAAAACCCAAUCGUUUAAAUCUCAUGCAUUUCGAUUAUAUCGUAGAAAAAUGAUUUAAACUGACUUGAGAAUCAACUUCUCCCAUGUGUGGAAACCAGCUUUCCUCAAGUUGGCUUCAGUUACAGCCUUUUUGUCGGUCAGUCUUCCAGUCAAGAAGAUAAUCUUGACUCCAAGACCCAGAAGUUUGUUGUAAUUCUUAAGAGUCUCAGGCAAUGCUGGUGCAUCACCCUUGUUAACAAACUCUUCGUCAUAACGUGUAGAAUUGAAUUUCUCCG
rnacentral:lncRNA from 1 species